rnacentral:rRNA from 1 species
UGGGGAAUCUUGCGCAAUGGGCGAAAGCCUGACGCAGCGACGCCGCGUGAGUGAUGAAGGCCUUCGGGUUGUAAAGCUCUGUGGGGAGAGAAGAAUAAGUGUUGGCUAAUAUCCAGCAUGAUGACGGUAUCUCCUUAGCAAGCACCGGCUAACUCUGUGCCAGCAGCCGCGGUAAGACAGAGGGUGCAAACGUUGUUCGGAAUUACUGGGCGUAAAGCGUGUGUAGGCGGCUUUGCAAGUCGGAUGUGAAAGCCCCGGGCUCAACCCGGGAAGUGCACUCGAUACUGCAGAGCUAGAGUGUGGGAGAGGUUGGUGGAAUUCUCGGUGUAGAGGUGAAAUUCGUAGAUAUCGAGAGGAACACCGGCGGCGAAGGCGGCCAACUGGACCACUACUGACGCUGAGACACGAAAGCGUGGGGAGCAAACAG